GGUGAACGCUGGCGGCGUGCCUAAUACAUGCAAGUCGAGCGAACAGAUGAGGAGCUUGCUCCUCUGACGUUAGCGGCGGACGGGUGAGUAACACGUGGAUAACCUACCUAUAAGACUGGGAUAACUUCGGGAAACCGGAGCUAAUACCGGAUAAUAUAUUGAACCGCAUGGUUCAAUAGUGAAAGACGGUUUUGCUGUCACUUAUAGAUGGAUCCGCGCCGCAUUAGCUAGUUGGUAAGGUAACGGCUUACCAAGGCAACGAUGCGUAGCCGACCUGAGAGGGUGAUCGGCCACACUGGAACUGAGACACGGUCCAGACUCCUACGGGAGGCAGCAGUAGGGAAUCUUCCGCAAUGGGCGAAAGCCUGACGGAGCAACGCCGCGUGAGUGAUGAAGGUCUUCGGAUCGUAAAACUCUGUUAUUAGGGAAGAACAAAUGUGUAAGUAACUAUGCACGUCUUGACGGUACCUAAUCAGAAAGCCACGGCUAACUACGU
rnacentral:rRNA from 1 species